AGCAGCCGCGGUAAUUCCAGCUCCAAUAGCGUAUAUUAAAGUUGUUGCAGUUAAAAAGCUCGUAGUUGAAUUUCGGGAUUCUACCAUUGGUCAGGCUAUUGUCUGUACUGGCGUGUAGAAUUUCUACCUUCUGGGGAACUAUCAUGUUAUUAAUUUAGCGUGGUAGGAAACCAGGACCUUUACCUUGAAAAAAUUAGAGUGUUCAAAGCAGGCUUAUGUCUGAAUACAUUAGCAUGGAAUAAUAAAAUAGGACGGUGGUCCUGUUUUGUUGGUUUCUGAAUCACCGUAAUGAUUAAUAGGGAUAGUUGGGGGCAUUAGUAUUCAAUUGUCAGAGGUGAAAUUCUUGGAUUUAUUGAAGACUAACUACUGCGAAAGCAUUUGCCAAGGAUGUUUUCAUUAAUCAAGAACGAAAGUUAGGGGAUCGAAGACGAUCAGAUACCGUCGUAGUCUUAACCAUAAACUAUGCCGACUAGGGAUCGGACGAUGUCAACUUUUCUUGACUCGUUCGGCGUCCUUACGG
rnacentral:rRNA from 1 species